CUGGUUUGGAGGGGACCCCCGGGUUUUGCUGUUCUUUGAAUCCUCUACCCAUCUGAGAAGGUAACAGUGAGACAUACCAUCUGCAGCACACACAGCAGCUAUUGGACGCUACUACUGACAGUUUGCACUACAGUUUUUGAAAAAGAAGAAUCCAAGUCCAUCUGGAGGAAUUUUUAAUUUCCUUUGGAGAAGUUUUAGGAGGGACCAUCCAAAAGUUUCACCUACUAUGUCAUUGAUCAUAUUUUGUGUGAGAUCACGUCUACCUUGCCAGUUGGGAGGAAUGGAACAUCCAGUGUAUGUGACACAUCAUGACCUGCUCUCUUAAUUUGUUCAGUUUGUAUCUAAAAAGCCUCUGGGUGGGUUGUUGUUGUUUGUGGGAAUUGAAUCUGGAACAUUUGAUCUGAACACAUGGUCUGUCUGAGCUAAAAGACACAGCAUUGUUACCUUAAAGGCUAUAUAGACUCGACCUCUGUAUGGGUCAACCGCUAGAGAAGGACAAAAAGCCACACUGUAAGCAUGGGUUACACUUACAUAUUUAGCCACUAAUGUCUCUAGAUCUUAGUGAAGAGAUCAUUUAGAAAACUUCUGAAGGGGAAGUUACAAGAUAUAGCACUGGGACUUCACUUUUGUUAUUUCACUGUAGAGUUCACUUUUAUUAUACCCACUGCAAUUUAAAAUAUAAUCAAGGUUGUGAAAGUGAGAUUAGAUAACUCCUGGAGAUUAGUGGCACAAGCCAGGGUGAAACAGUUUUACAGAGGGAUUUGAAGGAAUGGAAAGCUUGUCCAGUGAACAGAAGAGAGGAGCUUGUCCCAGACAUAGGGGUCAGCAUGCUAAAGCUGCAGAUAUGUGAGGGAGGAGGACAUGGGGGAAGCAGUUAGAGAAAGGUGGGGAAAGUGCAGAGGAUGAAUAUUGUGGAAGACAGUGGGUUGGAGAAGGUGUCGGGGGUUACUCCAAGUAGAGGGUUGGGACAUGAGAGAAGGAAGAUAUGAUAGAGAGAUAAAGGGAGUAUAGGGAGUAAGGCAGUGAGGAGAUCAGGCAGAGCCCUGCAGGGCUGUGAAGGUGAGAAGUCUGAAUUUAAUGUAGGAGGACUGGGAGGAAGAUAGAGUGAUGGGUGUCAAAACAGCAGCUAGCGGCAAUGGAAUCUGGAUACAAUGGAGCUUGAAGAAGCAGUCCCCAGCUUGGAACUAAAACAGGUGGAAUAGAUGGACACUUUCACAUUUAAAUGUUUGACCUGAGUGUCCAAAUGCUAUAUCUGGAAGUCCUAUUUGGACUGACACUUUGAAAAUCUGCCUCACAGAAGAAAUAUGGAGACCCUUCUGUAAAAG
rnacentral:lncRNA from 1 species